rnacentral:rRNA from 1 species
GUCUAUAGCCGUAUCACCCUGAACGUGCCUGAUCUCAUCUGAUCUCAGAAGCUAAGCAGGGUCGGGUCUGGUUAGUACUUGGAUGGUAAGUUUUAGACA